UACGAAGGGGGCUAGCGUUGCUCGGAAUUACUGGGCGUAAAGCGCACGUAGGCGGACCGAUAAGUCGGGGGUGAAAUCCUGGAGCUCAACUCCAGAACUGCCUCCGAAACUGCCGGCCUUGAGUUCGGGAGAGGUGAGUGGAACUGCGAGUGUAGAGGUGAAAUUCGUAGAUAUUCGCAAGAACACCAGUGGCGAAGGCGGCGAUCUGGGUCGAUACUGACGCUGAGGUGCGAAAGCGUGGGGAGCAAACAGG
rnacentral:rRNA from 1 species